rnacentral:misc_RNA from 1 species
UGACAAAUUAAAAACACAGAAACCUCAAGAACUUUUCAGUUCAAUCUCAUGAAAAAGAACUCACUUUCCACAACUAUCAAAGUGGUAGAUAGAUACACAAGUUUAGCUUAUGAAACUAUGAUAAUAAAUACAUGGUAAUAAAGAAUUGCAGUGUUUCCAUCAUGUUUAAGGUACGGUAACAAAUUGGAAGGGGAAAAAAAAUGGUAGGCACUUGGACCUUAUCAUAAUAGCCAAAACAGCAAUACGAAUCCAGUCGAGAGGAUCAGCGAAUACGAUGGCAAACGUGUUAUCGAGCCCCAAUUUAUAUCAGCUGAAGUGGCGGGUGGGAGCGCAGGGCAUUCUAGACCUUGCUUCCCCUCCUUGCACUCGCUAGAGAAGAGACCAGGAGGGUAUUUUCCAUACAGGUUAAUGUAACUGAACAUGGUUGAAGCGCAAUCAUUUGUUAAAUCGUUGAGAUCGUCGGCAUAAGGGCAAGCAAACUCUUUCAAAGCUGAACAACACAGGUUGGGAGGAUAUCGAGG